rnacentral:lncRNA from 1 species
CCCUUCCCGAUGUUUAUAAAGCUCUGCGCACAAUACAAAACAGCUAUUCUCAAGACUUAGUAAAAGGUGUCACAGGCUCACAACAAGCUUUCAACCUAGCAACUUGACCUCAACUGAUCUCCAGGAUAAAUGUGGCUGACAAAUUCAUGUGAAGAAUUUAAAGGAGAAGCAAAUUCUGCAGUGCAACUGUUGAUCCAAUUCCUAUUGCUGCCUGUGUGGGAGUGCUGUCUGUAAGGAUCUGAAAGAACUGCCAGACCUUCUCUGUAAGAAAACCAAGUGCAAGUGUCAGAAACCUCUUGAAGAUUGAUUCACACCUGGCAGACGUUCAGUCCUGAAGGAACGAUUGCUCUCUCUCACAGGUAAAAUGCAUGAAAAGGCAAAAUCAUUGAAUGCCUCCUGGGCUUACCCUGAGGAGGAAGGCAAGGCUUUUGUUUGUCAGGAAGGUGCCU